AAAGGCAAUAUCAACACUACCCUCUCCUCCCACGUGCUCUAUGAACUAGAGACUUCCUCUGCGAAGCUCCUCUCUUGCUCGCCUUCGGGUCUCCUAGCGGCUGACCCUCUGCCUCCUCUCUCAAUAACUUUUCAGGUGCUCUCCCUCCUCAUUCAUUCGCUCAGAGUAAUGUGGUCUACUGGCAUAUCAAGGAGCACGUUGAGAAACAGGAAAACCGAAGACGACUCAGGAUUAGGGCACUGAAAUCAGGGUAUGGAAUUGUUCAUUUUCAGUCUCUUUGCUUAGAAGGUAGCUAGUCUUGAACACAUGGGGACAGAGACUUGCACAUACAAUUCGUGUUUGCUUUCGCUCAAGAUUCAAGUUGGCUGAACAAUCUCAAACGAAUGAUAGCGUGUACAAGCCAUUACUGUAACUUAUGCCAAAGACAUGGUUCAAUAUUUGGAGGCCAGGAUCUGAUUUUUGUAAGACUGUGUUUGCUUGCUUAUGUUAUGGCUGGUUCAAUAAUCAUGUUUUUAUUGCUGCUGAUUUUUUAGCCAAGGAUGCAGUAUGUAUUUCUUUCAAUCUUCAGUGCACCCCAUCUAUUUAUUUUGGCACUUUUAUUUCAGCGGGUCUCAGAUCCAAGGAGACUAAUAUUAGUAAUGCAGCUAAUGUUUUAUUGAAGUGAAUGUGGCGAUUAUUUAUUGGGGCAUUUCACUCAAUGGUAACUUUUCUUAGUGGAUCACGCUCUGGUUUGGAUCUUAUAAUGGAGCUUUAGGGUUCACUUUUGGGCUCUCUGAAGUAUUUUUCUUUAGUUUUAAAGUGAAUGUGGGGAUUAUUUACAGUGGAUCAGGCACUGCUAUGGACCUUGAGAUCCAUAUUUUGAUUUUUUUCUUUCUUUUUUUUUCCGUUUUAGUUUCUGGUUUUUGCUUAAGUAUUGUGUUCAAUUUUUUUAAUGGAGUUAUUUUAUUGAUAAUUGAUCAUAGCGAUUGGAUCAUACACUAGAAUAGGUGUUAAGAGUGAAAUUAACAAUUUUUGCAAGCUGAUAUAGUGUGCGUUAUGUUCAUUUUAAGCUUUUUACAACAUGUUUUUUGUAUUUUGUUUUUGUACUAUAACUUGAAGAUCUUUUCCAGUUUGGGUUUUGAGUGGACAUGUUAUAGUUCUUCUCCAGAUUUCUUGCAUGAUUGUUCUGUUGCUUGUAAAUAUAGAAAUGGGUUUCAGUGGAAAUUUAUGUGUUGAAUUACUAUCAUUAUUAUUAUUUGCAUGGGUACAAAUUAUUAUUUCCACUAUUUGUUGAGGACGACAAUCUUAACAGCUCUUGUGCUGAUUUUAUUUUUUCUGAAAAAAAUUAGGUAUUCUUUACUUUCUAACUCUUGAUGAAUUUUAAUGAGUUGGGAAAUGGAUGUAGAAGAUUUGGAUUUGUGGCAUGUAUUAUAGCAAAUGUUGAAGUGAAUUCAUGUUGUUUUAAAAUGGUACAUUUGAAAACUGCAAUUGAGAGCCUCUAUUUUGGUUUUACAAUGGUCCAUACUCUAGUUUCAGUCGAUACAAGGCAUGCCUUUCUAAUUAGCUGCAUGCUUUCUGUUUUGCAAGAGACUAACUAAGCCUGUCAGGGACAUGACUGUAAACCACUAUUUAAAUUGCCAUCUCACCUGGAAUUAUGUUCUUAUAGUCGUCAUGUUAUUGGUAGUUGUUUGAUGUAAGUUUUCUUUUACCUUUUGUGCAUUGUUGUAACUUGGCAAUUGUGGUAUGUGGACUUUAUCAUAUCUGCGUUCAAGUUGAUGUAAGUUUUCUUUUACCUACUGGGACAUUAGGUUUAUUGGACAUGAUCCAUAUGUUGUUUGAUGAUAUUUCAGCAUGCGAUUGUUGAGCAAGAGAGCUUGAUCACGAUGUUGAAUUGCAAGAGAGCAAGGAAUUUUUUUUGGAGCCAAUAAGGACCUCGAAUCGAGUUGAGGCCAUGACAGAUGAAGGGGUUGCAAUUGCAUGGAGGAUAUGACAAAUAGCCAGAUUGCUUUCACAUGGAGAAUAUGACAACUUGCAAGGCUUCAUUUGCACAUAUACACAAAGGAUUUUUUGUAUUGAUUAAUUUUUGAAAUUUUGGAGAUAUGUAAAUACCUUUUUUGUAAUUCACUUUCGAAUUUGUGUGAAUAUUGAAUAGUCAUAUAAUUUAAGGGCUAUGUAAAUGACCUAUUUGUGGGCCAUGUAAAUGACCUAUUUAUGGGGUAUGUAAAGGACCUAAUUAUGGGGGCAUUUAAAGGGCCUAUUUUGGGGUCAUGUAAAGGACCUAUUUUUGGGGUCAUGUAAAGGUCCGAUUUAUGGAUAGUGGAAUCCAUUUAUAAUGAAAUGUGGGUUUACUUGAA